AAAAACUUGACGGUACCCCACACCAACCUAGAGGAGCCUGUCUAAUAAACCGAUACCCCACGAUCAACCCAACCCACUCUAGCCCCACAGUCUAUAUACCGCCGUCGCCAGCUUACCUUGCAAAAGAAACUAAGUAAGCAUAAUAAAACAAACUCUUAACACGACAGGUCGAGGUGUAACUUAUGAGUGCGUAAAGAUGGGCUACAUUUUCUAUAACAGAAAACUACGGAUAAACUAUGAAACUAAAAACUGAAGGAGGAUUUAGCAGUAUGUUAAGAAUAGAAAACUAAACAGAAACUUACGCAAUGAGGUGCGUACACACCGCCCGUCAUCCCUG
rnacentral:rRNA from 1 species